rnacentral:rRNA from 1 species
AAGGUUCAUUAUGGAAUGACUUGAGAGUCGGUUGUCGCUGGCUGUCUUAUUUGGCAGCAUGUGCACGCCUUCUCUUUUCAUCCACACACACCCCUGUGCACUUGUGAGACUGGAGACCGGUAAAAAAAAUCCUCCAUCUGCUAAAUCCCUAUACCAACCCCUUUAAUUGAACUGAAUGGAAAUUGAUGUAACCCCUCUUUAAACUAAGUUUCCACCACGGAUCUCUUGGCUCUCCCCUCCAUGAAAAACCCCACCAAAUGCCAUAAAUAAUGGGAAUUGCCAAAUUCCGUGAAUCCUCCAAUCCUUGAACCCCCCUUGCCCCCCUUGGUAUUCCUUGGAACCUGCCUGGUUGAAUAUCAUGAAAUUCUCCAAAUAAACCUUUUGGUAAUUCCACUGGUCUUUGCUUUGGAAUUGGAAGGCUUUGCAAAAGUCCCAAUCCGCUCCUCUUAAAUAAAUUAACUGGAUCCCAAUAUACCCUUGGUUCCACUCCGCGUGAUAAAUAUCACUCCCUGAAGACCCUGGUAAAAAGGGGGCCCGGGCAUGGCGAAGAACCGCUUCCAAUAAGCCAUUGACUUUGACAAAUUAAAAAUUUAUGAUCUGAUCUCAAAUCAAUGUAGGACUUACCGCU